UGGAUUAGGCAUGCAAGUCGUACGGGAUUCGGGGGCAACUCCGGAUCUAGUGGCGAACGGGUGAGUAACGCGUGGGAAACCUGCCUUCGAGAUCGGGAUAACACUCCCAACGGGGUGCUAAUACCGGAUAAGACCACGGGGCCGCAUGGUCCUGAGGUCAAAGGUGGCCUCUACUUGUAAGCUACCGCUUGAAGAGGGUCCCGCGUCCCAUUAGCUAGUUGGUGGGGUAAGAGCCCACCAAGGCUACGAUGGGUAGCUGGUCUGAGAGGAUGGUCAGCCACACUGGGACUGAGAUACGGCCCAGACUCCUACGGGAGGCAGCAGUCGAGAGGCUUCGGCAAUGGGGGAAACCCUGACCGAGCGACGCCGCGUGGGCGAUGAAGGCCGUUAGGUUGUAAAGCCCUGUCGAGUAGGAAGAAACGCAGGUGGGUGAACAAUCCAUCUGCUUGACGGUACUGCUAAAGGAAGCUCCGGCCAACUCCGUGCCAGCAGCCGCGGUAAUAC
rnacentral:rRNA from 1 species